UGCAAGUCGAGGGGGUAUAUUUCUUCGGAGAUAGAGACCGGCGCACGGGUGCGUAACGCGUAUGCAAUCUACCUUUUACAGAGGGAUAGCCCAGAGAAAUUUGGAUUAAUACCUCAUAGUAUAUAGCCCUGGCAUCAGGAUUAUAUUAAAGUCACAACGGUAAAAGAUGAGCAUGCGUCCCAUUAGCUAGUUGGUAAGGUAACGGCUUACCAAGGCUACGAUGGGUAGGGGUCCUGAGAGGGAGAUCCCCCACACUGGUACUGAGACACGGACCAGACUCCUACGGGAGGCAGCAGUGAGGAAUAUUGGACAAUGGGCGCAAGCCUGAUCCAGCCAUGCCGCGUGCAGGAUGACGGUCCUAUGGAUUGUAAACUGCUUUUAUACGAGAAGAAACACUGAUUCGUGAAUCAGCUUGACGGUAUCGUAAGAAUAAGGAUCGGCUAACUCCGUGCCAGCAGCCGCGGUAAUACGGAGGAUCCAAGCGUUAUCCGGAAUCAUUGGGUUUAAAGGGUCCGUAGGCGGUUUAAUAAGUCAGUGGUGAAAGCCCAUCGCUCAACGGUGGAACGGCCAUUGAUACUGUUAAACUUGAAUUAUUAGGAAGUAACUAGAAUAUGUAGUGUAGCGGUGAAAUGCUUAGAGAUUACAUGGAAUACCAAUUGCGAAGGCAGGUUACUACUAAUGGAUUGACGCUGAUGGACGAAAGCGUGGGUAGCGAACAGGAUUAGAUACCCUGGUAGUCCACGCCGUAAACGAUGGAUACUAGCUGUUGGAAGCAAUUUCAGUGGCUAAGCGAAAGUGAUAAGUAUCCCACCUGGGGAGUACGUUCGCAAGAAUGAAACUCAAAGGAAUUGACGGGGGCCCGCACAAGCGGUGGAGCAUGUGGUUUAAUUCGAUGAUACGCGAGGAACCUUACCAAGGCUUAAAUGUAGAUUGACCGGUUUGGAAACAGAUCUUUCGCAAGACAAUUUACAAGG
rnacentral:rRNA from 1 species